rnacentral:tRNA from 1 species
AAAACUGCCGGAAUAGC